AUACCGCAUACGUCCUACGGGAGAAAGGGGGCUCCGGCUCCCGCCAUCGGAUGAGCCUAUGUCGGAUUAGCUGGUUGGUGAGGUAAAGGCUCACCAAGGCGACGAUCCGUAGCUGGUCUGAGAGGAUGAUCAGCCACAUCGGGACUGAGACACGGCCCGAACUCCUACGGGAGGCAGCAGUGGGGAAUAUUGGACAAUGGGGGCAACCCUGAUCCAGCCAUGCCGCGUGUGUGAAGAAGCCCCUCGGGUUGUAAAGCACUUUCAGUGAGGAAGAACGCCUGGUAGUUAAUACCCAUCAGGAAAGACAUCACUCACAGAAGAAGCACCGGCUAACUCCGUGCCAGCAGCCGCGGUAAUACGGAGGGUGCGAGCGUUAAUCGGAAUUACUGGGCGUAAAGCGCGCGUAGGUGGCUUGAUAAGCCGGUUGUGAAAGCCCCGGGCUCAACCUGGGAACGGCAUCCGGAACUGUCAAGCUAGAGUGCAGGAGAGGAAGGUAGAAUUCCCGGUGUAGCGGUGAAAUGCGUAGAGAUCGGGAGGAAUACCAGUGGCGAAGGCGGCCUUCUGGACUGACACUGACACUGAGGUGCGAAAGCGUGGGUAGCAAACAGGAUUAGAUACCCUGGUAGUCCACGCCGUAAACGAUGUCGACCAGCCGUUGGGUGCCUAGCGCACUUUGUGGCGAAGUUAACGCGAUAAGUCGACCGCCUGGGGAGUACGGCCGCAAGGUUAAAACUCAAAUGAAUUGACGGGGGCCCGCACAAGCGGGUGGGAGCAUGUGGUUUAAUUCGAUGCAACGCGAAGAACCUUACCUACUCUUGACAUCCUGCGAAUUUGUUAGAGAUCCCUUGGUGCCUUCGGGAACGCAGAGACAGGUGCUGCAUGGCUGUCGUCAGCUCGUGUUGUGAAAUGUUGGGUUAAGUCCCGUAACGAGCGCAACCCUUGUCCUUAUUUGCCAGCGCGUAAAGGCGGGAACUCUAAGGAGACUGCCGGUGACAAACCGGAGGAAGGUGGGGACGACGUCAAGUCAUCAUGGCCCUUACGAGUAGGGCUACACACGUGCUACAAUGGUCGGUACAAAGGGUUGCCAACUCGCGAGAGUGAGCCAAUCCCGAAAAGCCGAUCUCAGUCCGGAUCGGAGUCUGCAACUCGACUCCGUGAAGUCGGAAUCGCUAGUAAUCGUGGAUCAGAAUGCCACGGUGAAUACGUUCCCGGGCCUUGUACACACCGCCC
rnacentral:rRNA from 1 species